UCUAGCCAUGGGCAGGUUGAAGGUUGGGUAACACUAACUGGAGGACCGAACCGACUAAUGUUGAAAAAUUAGCGGAUGACCUGUGGCUGGGGGUGAAAGGCCAAUCAAACCGGGAGAUAGCUGGUUCUCCCCGAAAGCUAUUUAGGUAGCGCCUCGUGAAUUCAUCUCCGGGGGUAGAGCACUGUUUCGGCUAGGGGGCCAUCCCGGCUUACCAACCCGAUGCAAACUGCGAAUACCGGAGAAUGUUAUCACGGGAGACACACGGCGGGUGCUAACGUCCGUCGUGAAGAGGGAAACAACCCAGACCGCCAGCUAAGGUCCCAAAGUCAUGGUUAAGUGGGAAACGAUGUGGGAAGGCCCAGACAGCCAGGAUGUUGGCUUAGAAGCAGCCAUCAUUUAAAGAAAGCGUAAUAGCUCACUGGUCGAGUCGGCCUGCGCGGAAGAUGUAACGGGGCUAAACCAUGCACCGAAGCUGCGGCAGCGACACUGUGUGUUGUUGGGUAGGGGAGCGUUCUGUAAGCCUGUGAAGGUGUGUCGUGAGGCAUGCUGGAGGUAUCAGAAGUGCGAAUGCUGACAUAAGUAACGAUAAAGCGGGUGAAAAGCCCGCUCGCCGGAAGACCAAGGGUUCCUGUCCAACGUUAAUCGGGGCAGGGUGAGUCGACCCCUAAGGCGAGGCCGAAAGGCGUAGUCGAUGGGAAACGGGUUAAUAUUCCCGUACUUGGUGUUACUGCGAAGGGGGGACGGAGAAGGCUAUGUUGGCCGGGCGACGGUUGUCCCGGUUUAAGCGUGUAGGUGUGUGUUCCAGGUAAAUCCGGUUCACUUUAACACUGAGGCGUGACGACGAGGCACUACGGUGCUGAAGCAACAAAUGCCCUGCUUCCAGGAAAAGCCUCUAAGCAUCAGGUAACAUCAAAUCGUACCCCAAACCGACACAGGUGGUCAGGUAGAGAAUACCAAGGCGCUUGAGAGAACUCGGGUGAAGGAACUAGGCAAAAUGGUGCCGUAACUUCGGGAGAAGGCACGCUGACACGUAGGUGAAGUGAUUUACUCAUGGAGCUGAAGUCAGUCGAAGAUACCAGCUGGCUGCAACUGUUUAUUAAAAACACAGCACUGUGCAAACACGAAAGUGGACGUAUACGGUGUGACGCCUGCCCGGUGCCGGAAGGUUAAUUGAUGGGGUCAGCGCAAGCGAAGCUCCUGAUCGAAGCCCCGGUAAACGGCGGCCGUAACUAUAACGGUCCUAAGGUAGCGAAAUUCCUUGUCGGGUAAGUUCCGACCUGCACGAAUGGCGUAAUGAUGGCCAGGCUGUCUCCACCCGAGACUCAGUGAAAUUGAACUCGCUGUGAAGAUGCAGUGUACCCGCGGCAAGACGGAAAGACCCCGUGAACCUUUACUAUAGCUUGACACUGAACAUUGAGCCUUGAUGUGUAGGAUAGGUGGGAGGCUUUGAAGUGUGGACGCCAGUCUGCAUGGAGCCGACCUUGAAAUACCACCCUUUAAUGUUUGAUGUUCUAACGUGGACCCGUUACCCGGGUUGCGGACAGUGUCUGGUGGGUAGUUUGACUGGGGCGGUCUCCUCCUAAAGAGUAACGGAGGAGCACGAAGGUUGGCUAAUCCUGGUCGGACAUCAGGAGGUUAGUGCAAUGGCAUAAGCCAGCUUGACUGCGAGCGUGACGGCGCGAGCAGGUGCGAAAGCAGGUCAUAGUGAUCCGGUGGUUCUGAAUGGAAGGGCCAUCGCUCAACGGAUAAAAGGUACUCCGGGGAUAACAGGCUGAUACCGCCCAAGAGUUCAUAUCGACGGCGGUGUUUGGCACCUCGAUGUCGGCUCAUCACAUCCUGGGGCUGAAGUAGGUCCCAAGGGUAUGGCUGUUCGCCAUUUAAAGUGGUACGCGAGCUGGGUUUAGAACGUCGUGAGACAGUUCGGUCCCUAUCUGCCGUGGGCGCUGGAGAACUGAGGGGGGCUGCUCCUAGUACGAGAGGACCGGAGUGGACGCAUCACUGGUGUUCGGGUUGUCAUGCCAAUGGCACUGCCCGGUAGCUAAAUGCGGAAGAGAUAAGUGCUGAAAGCAUCUAAGCACGAAACUUGCCCCGAGAUGAGUUCUCCCUGAGACUUAGAGUCUCCUGAAGGAACGUUGAAGACGACGACGUUGAUAGGCCGGGUGUGUAAGCGCAGCGAUGCGUUGAGCUAACCGGUACUAAUGAACCGUGAGGCUUAACCUUACAACGCCGAAG
rnacentral:rRNA from 1 species